rnacentral:rRNA from 2 species
UACGGAGGGUGCAAACGUUGCUCGGAAUUAUUGGGCGUAAAGCGUACGUAGGCGGUCCAGCAAGUCGGGUGUGAAAGCCCUUGGCUUAACCAAGGAAGUGCAUUCGAAACUACUGGACUUGAAUACUGGAGAGGAUCGCGGAAUUCCCGGUGUAGAGGUGAAAUUCGUAGAUAUCGGGAGGAACACCAGUGGCGAAGGCGGCGAUCUGGACAGAUAUUGACGCUGAUGUACGAAAGCGUGGGGAGCAAACAGG